rnacentral:rRNA from 1 species
GAGUUUGAUCCUGGCUCAGGAUGAACGCUGGCGGCAUGCCUAAUACAUGCAAGUCGAACGGAAUCUUAUAUGUUCCUCGUUUCGGAUUUAGUUCCGAGUUGGGGAACAAUAAGAUUUAGUGGCUGACGGGUGAGUAACACGUUGGUACCUACCCUCUAGUGGGGAAUAACUUCGAGAAAUCGAGGCUAAUACCGCAUAAUAUCUACGGAUUAAAGCAUUUAUGCGCUAGAGGAGGGGCCUGCGUCUGAUUAGCUUGUUGGUGAGGUAAAAAGCUCACCAAGGCGACGAUCAGUAGCUGGAUCGAGAGGUUGACCAGCCACACUGGGACUGAGAUACGGCCCAGACUCCUACGGGAGGCAGCAGUAAGGAAUCUUCCACAAUGGGCGAAAGCCUGAUGGAGCAAUGCCGCGUGCAGGAUGACGGCCUUCGGGUUGUAAACUGCUUUUAUAUGGGAAGAUUAUGACGGUACCACAUGAAUAAGGACCGGCUAACUACGUG